rnacentral:rRNA from 1 species
UACGGAGGGUGCAAGCGUUGCUCGGAAUUAUUGGGCGUAAAGGGCAGGUAGGUGGUCCGCUUUGUCAGGGGUGAAAGCCUUGGGCUUAACUCAAGAAGUGCCCCUGAAACGGUCGGACUAGAGUGCUGGAGAGGUUAGUGGAAUUCCCGGUGUAGCGGUGAAAUGCGUAGAGAUCGGGAGGAACACCAGAGGCGAAGGCGGCUAACUGGACAGUGACUGACACUCAACUGCGAAAGCGUGGGGAGCAAACAGG